AACGGAAAGAACCUCCACAGAGACAGAAACAUACGGCAGAAAAUAAGGUGACAGGUCAAGAACAACAACAGAAAGAACGGAAAGAACGAAAAGAACAUAAAGAACCUCCACAGAGACAGAAACAUACGGCAGAAAAUUACGUGACAGGUCAAGCACAACAACGGAAACAACCGAAACAACCUCCACAGAGACAGAAACAUAAGACAGAAAAUUAGGUGACUGGUCAAGAACAACAACGGAAACAACGGAAACAACGGAAACAACGGAAACAACGGAAACAACCUCCACAGAGACAGAAAC
ensembl:lncRNA